UAGCCCUUACCCCCCCGACUAGUAGUAUUAAUCUGUUAGGGUGGGGGAAGGUACUGC
rnacentral:pre_miRNA from 1 species